rnacentral:rRNA from 1 species
GACGAACCGUGCGAACGUUGUUCGGAUUCACUGGGCUUAAAGGGCGCGUAGGCGGGCUGUCAAGUCAGGGGUGAAAGCUUUCGGCUCAACCGGAAAAGUGCCCCUGAUACUGAUGGUCUAGAGUGAGGUAGGGGCAUGUGGAACUUCCGGUGGAGCGGUGAAAUGCGUAGAUAUCGGAAGGAACGCCGGUGGCGAAAGUGACGUGCUGAACCUCGACUGACGAUGAGGCGCGAAAGCUAGGGGAGCAAACGGG